AAUGAACGCUGGCGGCGCGCCUAAUACAUGCAAGUCGAGCGAGAAGACGUAGCAAUACGUUUGUAAAGCGGCGAACGGGUGAGGAAUACAUGGGUAACCUACCCUCGAGUGGGGAAUAACUAGCCGAAAGGUUAGCUAAUACCGCGUACGCUUCUUGGACUUCGGUUCAGGGAGGAAAGCGAUGCCGAGGGUAUCGCGCUCUUGGAUGGGCUCAUGUCCUAUCAGCUUGNGGUGAGGUAACGGCUCACCAAGGCUUCGACGGGUAGCUGGUCUGAGAGGACGAUCAGCCACACUGGCACUGCGACACGGGCCAGACUCCUACGGGAGGCAGCAGUAAGGAAUAUUGCGCAAUGGGCGAAAGCCUGACGCAGCGACGCCGCGUGGGGGAGUGAAGGUCUUCGGAUU
rnacentral:rRNA from 1 species